UACGGGGGGGGCAAGCGUUGUUCGGAAUUACUGGCGUAAAGGGCGCGUAGGCGGCCUGCUAAGUCGAACGUGAAAUCCCUGGGCUCAACCCAGGAACUGCGUCCGAUACUGGUUGGCUUGAAUCCGGGAGAGGGAUGUGGAAUUCCAGGUGUAGCGGUGAAAUGCGUAGAUAUCUGGAGGAACACCGGUGGCGAAGGCGACAUCCUGGACCGGCAUUGACGCUGAGGCGCGAAAGCCAGGGAGCAAAGCGGG
rnacentral:rRNA from 1 species